rnacentral:rRNA from 1 species
GACGAACGCUGGCGGCGUGCUUAACACAUGCAAGUCGAGCGGAAAGGCCCUUCGGGGUACUCGAGCGGCGAACGGGUGAGUAACACGUGAGUAACCUGCCCUAGGCUUUGGGAUAACCCCGGGAAACCGGGGCUAAUACCGGAUAUGACCUGGUGCCGCAUGGUGUUGGGUGGAAAGUUUUUUCGGCCUGGGAUGGGCUCGCGGCCUAUCAGCUUGUUGGUGGGGUGAUGGCCUACCAAGGCGAUGACGGGUAGCCGGCCUGAGAGGGCGACCGGCCACACUGGGACUGAGACACGGCCCAGACUCCUACGGGAGGCAGCAGUGGGGAAUAUUGCACAAUGGGCGGAAGCCUGAUGCAGCGACGCCGUGUGAGGGAUGAAGGCCUUCGGGUUGUAAACCUCUUUCAGCAGGGACGAAGCGUGAGUGGCGGUACCUGCAGAAGAAGCGCCGGCCAACUACGUG